rnacentral:rRNA from 1 species
GCAUAACGCGAAGAACCUUACCCACCUUUGACAUGUACGGAAUCCUUUAGAGAUAGAGGAGUGCUCGAAAGAGAGCCGUAACACAGGUGCUGCAUGGCUGUCGUCAGCUCGUGUCGUGAGAUGUUGGGUUAAGUCCCGCAACGAGCGCAACCCUUGCCAUUAGUUGCUACAUUUAGUUGAGCACUCUAAUGGGGACUGCCGGUGACAAACCGGAGGAAGGUGGGGAUGACGUCAAGUCCUCAUGGCCCUUAUAGGUGGGGCUACACACGUCAUACAAUGGCUGGUACAAAGGGUUGCCAACCCGCGAGGGGGAGCUAAUCCCAUAAAGCCAGUCGUAGUCCGGAUCGCAGUCUGCAACUCGACUGCGUGAAGUCGGAAUCGCUAGUAAUCGUGGAUCAGAAUGUCACGGUGAAUACGUUCCCGGGUCUUGUACACACCG